GACUUGCUUAUCGGAGAAUUUGCCAUGACUUAGCGGUAACUAGUCACCCGUCCCUCGUUGGCUCUGUAGUGUGGCUGUAGGCUACUUUAUCUAGCGUUAGCGAGAGUUUAAUGUUGGCAUGUAGCGUUAGCAAAACUCUGCUAGCAAGAAGCCUUUCGGGCUGAGGCGAGCAGGGCUUGUGCCCUAGCUCCGUGUGUGGUUAGCCUUCCCAUACUCUGUUUUGCUUUUGCAUGUUCAUUUUAACAAUGAGGUUAAUUAUCGAGACGUAAUUGCUUCUAGUUUUGCUAUGACUUGGAGGUAACAGUUACUAUCCCCUGUUGGCUCUGCAGUCUGUCAGCAUUAUCGACUAUAUCUGGACUUGAUUAAUGUUAGCACCCUCGUUUUAAAACACCCAGCAAGCUCACUGUUUAGAGAACACUGGUCUUUGACACGGACUUCUUUGUUGUAGUGGAGAAACCUUUCUAGCUAAAUGCAGGGGAAUUGUAUUGUGUACUAGUACUUGAUUACCUAUGUUCUCGCUGUAUUUUGGCAAUACCCACAACGAAGACCUGAGUACAUCAACUCCAGAACUUUGAGGCACAUGGCCCAGUGAAGAAGACAACCCAAAACAUUGUGGGCUCACACUACAAACAAUGCAGAUGGCUUAAUGGCGAUAAACCCAUCAGCAGUAUGGCUUUUUCUUGGGACUUGCAUGAAGUUUUUUUUGUCAAAAUGAUGCCAAUUUGGAACUUUGCAGUGCCCAUUUUGUGCAUAUGAAAGGCUGUUCACUGCCCAGGCAAUUAACCAGACAAUCAGCAUUCUUGAGGACAUACAGGCAAGUUUGUUUUUAAAUGACCAUUUAUUGAUAUCAAAGCUUUACAAAACUUU